rnacentral:rRNA from 1 species
UGGGGAAUAUUGCACAAUGGUCGCAAGCCUGAUGCAGCCAUGCCGCGUGUGUGAAGAAGGCCUUCGGGAUGUAAAGCACUUUCAGCGGGGUGGAAGGCGAUAAGGUUAAUAACCUUGUCGAUUGACGUUACCCGCAGAAGAAGCACCGGCUAACUCCGUGCCAGCAGCCGCGGUAAUACGGAGGGUGCAAGCGUUAAUCGGAAUUACUGGGCGUAAAGCGCACGCAGGCGGUCUGUCAAGUCGGAUGUGAAAUCCCCGGGCUCAACCUGGGAACUGCAUUCGAAACUGGCAGGCUAGAGUCUUGUAGAGGGGGGUAGAAUUCCAGGUGUAGCGGUGAAAUGCGUAGAGAUCUGGAGGAAUACCGGUGGCGAAGGCGGCCCCCUGGAAAAAGACUGACGCUCAGGUGCGAAAGCGUGGGGAGCAAACAGG